rnacentral:rRNA from 1 species
AACGAACGCUGGCGGCAGGCCUAACACAUGCAAGUCGAACGAGUAAGAGCCGUAGCAAUACGGAGUUCUGCUAGUGGCGCACGGGUGAGUAACGCGUGGGAACGUGCCUUGGAGUUCGGGAUAACAGUUGGAAACGACUGCUAAUACCGAAUAUUCCCUCAGGGGGAAAGAUUUAUCGCUCCAAGAUCGGCCCGCGUAAGAUUAGGUAGUUGGUGGGGUAAUGGCCUACCAAGCCUACGAUCUUUAGCUGGUCUGAGAGGACGACCAGCCACACUGGAACUGAGACACGGUCCAGACUCCUACGGGAGGCAGCAGUGGGGAAUAUUGGACAAUGGGGGGCAACCCUGAUCCAGCCAUGCCGCGUGUGUGAAGAAGGCCUC